CAUAGAGGAAAUAUAUUAUCUAGAGUCCCGACCGGUACCCGUCCUACCUGAAACACCCUCAAAUUUUAUUCGAGGUGAACUCUCCCAAAUUCGAGGUGAACUCUCACAAAUUCUCUAUCGGUGAAUACAUGUGAGUGGAGAAAAAAAAGCAAAAUGGGGGAUUGGGCUAAAAAGAAACUUAUGGAAUUUUUGUGACCUGUCAAAAAUGACAAUCAAUUUUGCAAAACAAAACAAUGGGUUUCGGAUUUUUAAAGUAAGUUUUUGUUAAUUGUUUUGAUUUUUAAUAUAAUUUGAUAUUUUUCAGACCAAAAUUCUUUCUAAUGAAGAGGGUAUAUACAAGUUCACUUCAUUGAAUAAAAAUUAAGUCAAAUUGCUGUGAAGGAGGUGCAACAAUAAUGGAUUUAUUUUACAUUCUUUCUUUUCAUUUUAGAUAGUGCCAAAAUGCAGGAAGCAAUUUCCUUUAAGUAAUUUGGGAAGCAAACCAAACGAGGCGCUGAUUUGCAGGUAAGUUUUUUGUAUAUUAUAUUUCUCUUAACAAAAUAAUAUCAAUGUUUUUAACUACAGAUACUGCCCAUUGUUUUUGUAUGUACUUCUCAACUGCAAUAGCUGCCGCAGGUGUUGACGGCGGAGGUGUCACCAUCAAAACCAUUAGAAACAACACGACCAAGUCAAUGAUGCAAGUGGAAGUUUUGCCAUGUAAUAGUCGACCGCUGACGCCCUUCUCGAUCAAUUGUGUAAGUACGUAUCGAAACAUUCAUAUCGUAGUCAACUAGCUUAAUCUUCGUCUUCUAGGUGUAAAGAGUACUACCAGUCUGCAAGAGACGCAAACAAAACAAGAAUACAAUCGCAGGAGACUCCAAAAAAUGUCCAACCCUGACUGUAAGUGAGUUCAAAUUUUAAAUCUACAACGAAUCCAUUCAUUUUGCUCCUAAGGAUCGCACUGGCUUAACGGUGUCAAUCAUUCGGAGGCAAAUGAGCUGGCCCGACAAGAAUCCCCCAAGAAGCCAAACAGAUUCAGAUCAGUCUCUCGGCAGCUACUGACAAUGUCGGCGAAUUGAAUCCAUCGAUUUUCACACAGAAAAUCAACAUCAAUAAAAUCACGACAAUUCAGCAGCGUCAUGGUCAACCUGCCGAUCAACCAUUCACAGUGAACAACCUCUAUUCGUAGCAGAAGCGAUCCCUGCGUUGUCGACAAUGCGAACACAAUGUCAUCAAGCCGGAGUACCAUCCAGGAUCGAUCAAGUAUCGCAUUCAAUUGUUUGCUAACUACCAUGUGCCAGACGUUCUGCUUGUGCGUUGUGAAAAGCCACUGAAGCCUGGCACGUCCACUGAAUUGAUCCUCAAGCUAACUAACCCAACGAUGUACCAUAUAACCACAACCAUUAUGAAACUGCUAACCAAGGAAGAAGAACAGCGAAUGAUCGACUUCGAAUAAAAGUUCAACGAAAGGAACCAAAAUUCACCACUUGGAGAAAGUCCAAUAACGUAACAAUUAAAUUGAACUUCACACCUGAAGAAGGAUUGAAACCAGGCGAUGAUGUUACUCUUAGUUUCUUGAUGAAAUAUACUUUUGUGAAUACAUACACACGCCCGAAAAGAAAGAACGUCAAAAACACGCAUUAUCAUCGAAAGUUUUUGUAAAAGUUGGUCAAAUUGAAGCCUAGAUUUAUUUCUAUGUAUAUCUAGAAAAUAAUCUUUUUUGCAAAAAACUUGUUUAUUUAUUUUGAGCUAUACUGUAAUUUUGUAUAUAUUGUAUAUUCUAUUGUUUCUUUGCUGACUAGGAUCAUUUUUAUUCAAAAUUAUUUAUGAUU